GAUGAACGCUGGCGGCGUGCUUAACACACGCAAGUCGAACGAAGCAUUUGCGACAGAUUUUUUCGGAAUGAAGUUGCUUAUGACUGAGUGGCGGACGGGUGAGUAACGCGUGGGUAACCUGCCUUGUACUGGGGGAUAGCAGCUGGAAACGGCUGGUAAUACCGCAUAAGCGCACAAUGUUGCAUGACAUGGUGUGAAAAACUCCGGUGGUAUAAGAUGGACCCGCGUCUGAUUAGCUAGUUGGUGAGAUAACAGCCCACCAAGGCGACGAUCAGUAGCCGACCUGAGAGGGUGACCGGCCACAUUGGGACUGAGACACGGCCCAGACUCCUACGGGAGGCAGCAGUGGGGAAUAUUGCACAAUGGAGGAAACUCUGAUGCAGCGACGCCGCGUGAGUGAAGAAGUAAUUCGUUAUGUAAAGCUCUAUCAGCAGGGAAGAUAGUGACGGUACCUGACUAAGAAGCGCCGGCUAAAUACGUG
rnacentral:rRNA from 1 species